AACAGAGUCGAAUGCCGCCUUUAGGUCCAGGAAGACAACUAUUGUAGGACGCCUAAAUGUGUGUCUGUGUUCCAGGACCUGUCGCAGUUUGAAGAUGUGG
rnacentral:precursor_RNA from 1 species